CUGCGGUGAAUACGUUCCCGGGCCUUGUACACACCGCCCGUCACACCAUGGAAGUGGGGGAUACUAGAAGCGGGUAGCUUAACCUUCGGGAAGGCGCCCUCCAAGGUAUGUUUCAUGACUGGGGUGAAGUCGUAACAAGGUAGCCGUAGGAGAACCUGCGGCUGGAUUACCUCCUUA
rnacentral:rRNA from 1 species